UACGAAGGGUGCAAACGUUGCUCGGAAUUAUUGGGCGUAAAGCGCACGUGGGCGGUAUUGCAAGUCGGAUGUGAAAUCCCUCGGCUUAACCAAGGAAGUGCAUCCGAAACUGCUGUACUUGAGUACGAAAGAGGAUCGCGGAAUUCCCGGUGUAGAGGUGAAAUUCGUAGAUAUCGGGAGGAACACCAGUGGCGAAGGCGGCGAUCUGGGUCGAUACUGACGCUGAGGUGCGAAAGCGUGGGGAGCAAACAGG
rnacentral:rRNA from 1 species